AGCAAUACUUAGUGGCAGACGGGUGAGUAACAUGUGGGUAUCUACCCUUUGGCCUGGAAUAACACGAGGAAACUUGUGCUAAUACCGGAUAAGUCUUUACGGAGAAAGCUUUAUGCACCAUUGGAUGAGCCCGCACUUGAUUAGUUUGUUGGUAGGGUAAUGGCCUACCAAGACUAUGAUCAAUAGCUGAUUUGAGAGGAUGAUCAGCCACAUUGGGACUGAGACACGGCCCAAACUCCUACGGGAGGCAGCAGUGGGGAAUCUUGCACAAUGGAGGAAACUCUGAUGCAGCGAUGCCGCGUGAGUGAAGAAGGCCUUUGGGUUGUAAAGCUCUUUCGUCGGGGAAGAAAAUGACUGUACCCGAAUAAGAAGGUCCGGCUAACUUCGUGCCAGCAGCCGCGGUAAUACGAAGGGACCUAGCGUAGUUCGGAAUUACUGGGCUUAAAGAGUUCGUAGGUGGUUGAAAAAGUUGGUGGUGAAAUCCCAGAGCUUAACUCUGGAACUGCCAUCAAAACUUUUCAGCUAGAGUAUGAUAGAGGAAAGCAGAAUUUCUAGUGUAGAGGUGAAAUUCGUAGAUAUUAGAAAGAAUACCAAUUGCGGAGGCAGCUUUCUGGAUCAUUACUGACACUGAGGAACGAAAGCAUGGGUAGCGAAGAGGAUUAGAUACCCUCGUAGUCCAUGCCGUANACGAUGUGUGUUAGACGUUGGAAAUUUAUUUUCAGUGUCGCAGGGAAACCGAUAAACACACCGCCUGGGGAGUACGACCGCAAGGUUAAAACUCAAAUGAAUUGACGGGGACCCGCACAAGUAGUGGAGC
rnacentral:rRNA from 1 species